GACGAACGCUGGCGGCGUGCUUAACACAUGCAAGUCGAACGGAAAGGCCCUGCUUGCAGGGUACUCGAGUGGCGAACGGGUGAGUAACACGUGGGUGAUCUGCCCUGCACUUCGGGAUAAGCUUGGGAAACUGGGUCUAAUACCGGAUAGGACCGCACUUUAGUGUGUGUGGUGGAAAGUUUUUUCGGUGUAGGAUGAGCUCGCGGCCUAUCAGCUUGUCGGUGGGGUAAUGGCCUACCAAGGCGGCGACGGGUAGCCGGCCUGAGAGGGUGUACGGCCACAUUGGGACUGAGAUACGGCCCAG
rnacentral:rRNA from 1 species